rnacentral:rRNA from 1 species
UGAACGCUGGCGGCGUGCCUAAUACAUGCCAGUCGAGCGAACAGACGAGGAGCUUGCUCCUCUGACGUUAGCGGCGGACGGGUGAGUAACACGUGGAUAACCUACCUAUAAGACUGGGAUAACUUCGGGAAACCGGAGCUAAUACCGGAUAAUAUAUUGAACCGCAUGGUUCAAUAGUGAAAGACGGUUUUGCUGUCACUUAUAGAUGGAUCCGCGCCGCAUUAGCUAGUUGGUAAGGUAACGGCUUACCAAGGCAACGAUGCGUAGCCGACCUGAGAGGGUGAUCGGCCACACUGGAACUGAGACACGGUCCGGACUCCUACGGGAGGCAGCAGUAGGGAAUCUUCCGCAAUGGGCGAAAGCUUGACGGAGCAACGCCGCGUGAGUGAUGAAGGUCUUCGGAUCGUAAAACUCUGUUAUUAGGGAAGAACAAAUGUGUAAGUAACUAUGCACGUCUUGACGGUACCUAAUCAGAAAGCCACGGCUAACUACGUG